UACCUGAUUGAUUCUGUCAGCGCGAUAUGCUCAAGUAAAAGAUUAAGCCAUGCAUGCUUUGAUUCAUAAAUGAAAUUGCGUACGGCUCAUUAGAGCAGAUAUCACCUUUCUCGGAAUCCUGAAAAGGAUAACUGCGGAAAUUCUGGAGCUAAUACAUGCGACUAUACUCCAACGCAAGGCGGGGUGCAAUUAUUAGAACAGACCAAACGUUUUUGGACGUUGUUUGUUGACUCUGAAUACCGUCGUUUACUGUCAGUUUCGACUGACUCUAUCCGAGAAGGGUGUCUGCCCUUUCAACUAGAUGGUAAUCUAUUGGACUACCAUGGUUGUUACGGGUAACGGAGAAUUAGGGUUCGACUCCGGAGAGGGAGCCUUAGAAACGGCUACCACGUCCAAGGAAGGCAGCAGGCGCGAAACUUAUCCACUGUUGAGUAUGAGAUAGUGACUAAAAAUAUAAAGACUCAUCCUUUUGGAUGAGUUUAUUUCAAUGAGUUGAAUAUAAAUUAUUCUUCGAGUAGCAAGGAGAGGGCAAGUCUGGUGCCAGCAGCCGCGGUAAUUCCAGCUCUCCUAGUGUAUCUCGUUAUUGCUGCGGUUAAAAAGCCUCGUAGUUGGAUCUA
rnacentral:ncRNA from 1 species